rnacentral:lncRNA from 1 species
UAGACUGUCACGUAUACAUUGUAAAAAAGUUAUCAAAAAAGAGUUGUUAAAAGAAACUUUUUCCUAAAAAAUAUCCGUUUUCAGAUUGAUAUAAAGUCAUAUAUUUUUUAUACUCAUAUUUCUAUACCCUUUAACAAAUUCUGAAUAUAAUAGAAAGAAAAUUGACAAUUUCUAUUAAUUAAGGCACACGGUUGUUGAAGAAAAAAAGAAAAAAAAAACUCACUAGCUUCUUAAAACUUCCUCGUGAUAAUCUAAAUUUUAUACACAUGUGGAGACAUUUCGUGCAAGAAAAACAUAGCAUUGGGAAUGACCUCAGGAACAUCAAUCAAGCUGCAAAACUUAACAUUAAAAAAAUUUC